GCCAGUGAAGCUGCUACGCAGUUUAGCUCGGUGACUCCUAUUUGCGCCGACAUGUGGGCCAGCCGCCUAGGUGCACGUCGCCCCACCUCACCCCGUGCAGUCGCGUUGCCCUCGUCGCCACACCGCCACCACCUGGCCACGCCUCGCGCUCAAUGCCUGCUUCCCUCCCCUCCGUGUCUUGCCCGGUCGCCCCCUGCUCCGUCGUGUCGUGCCGCCUGGCAAACGCCCCUGGCCCCCUCACCUCCCUUUCUCGCUUGACCAUGGAUGGGGGUGUAGAUGCCGUGGAUGGGGUGUACAUCGUGAAGUCCGAUCCGCUGCAGCAGCCGCUGGCAAGAGCAGAGCAGCUCCCAUCUCUCCCUCUGGAGAUGGAGUGAUGGACAUGUGUUAGGUUUGGUCCGUGCUUGCAAUAUGUGUUUUCUUGCUGGCAGGUGUGUUCCCUAACCCAUUCUUCAAAUCUCUUUAGUUGCUUACUUACAGGUGUUGUUGCUCUCCUUGCUUAAGGUACAUGACCUCCCCUUCCUGGCCCUAUCUUUGAUUUGGCAUCUUCAAUGUCAUAUAUUGCUUAAUUGUGCAGCUAUAACUAAAAUAUAAAGUUUUCGAAACCUACAAUAUUAAGUUUAUGUAGCCCUAUGGUUUGGCACAGAUGUUCAAAGAUUUUCAAUUAUUCCAAUCAUUUUAGGUUCACUAUAUACUUGUCUGUUUCCAAAUUGUUUAGGCACCACUGGAAAGUGGAAGAUGCUUCAGCAAGCAGCUUUGGUCCAAGAACUUAGUUACUGUAUGUUCUCCAUUGCACAAAGAGAUUAGCACAUGUGCAACUGGAAUGGAUAUGGCACUUUCAAAGCUUAAUAGUGGUGGAUGGGUUCGUAUAUAUUUUGUGAUGGAAGCUGUUGAACGAAAGAAGGGAAAAUCAUUGCUCCUGCCAGAGGUGUUGCAAGAUGCUGGCAGCACUCCAUUUGUAAUACCCUUUGCCAAUACUGGGAUGCUGGAUAUAAUGUCUCUUGGAAAACACAUCCCCCGAGGAGGAAAAAGCAGGGCUGGAGCUAGGCCACCUUGUUGGGGUCAGCCGAUCCCAAUGGAAUUUACGCUAGGCCAUUUUGCUGUAAUUUUGAAGAGUCCAUUGAUUCUUUCGGCUAGCUUCACCCCAAAAAAGGGGUGUCUGCUCCUAACCUAUACGACUCAUCAAAUUCUGUCAAAAUAUUUGCACAACUCUAAACUAUUUUAUUGAUUUCUAGGUGAUUUUGGUUGUGGGUGAUGACACCAAACAUAUCUCUAGAGGGAUCUUGUAUGACAGAGCAAGACAAAGAACUGGGCAAAGAUUGCAAUCAAGGUCAAAGUUCAUAGACCGGCUGCAGAGCAGCAGUCUGAACUCCAAAACCACAAUGCGUGAUGAUGGAUACCAGCUGUGGCAGUUGGUUGAUCUGGAAGGAUUUGAUGUAGGGAGUUUAUCAUACUAUCAUUGUAGAUUUUUUUUAGAGUUACUGUCACUAUAAAAUUGAUGUCGUUACAUGGGAGGGGUUCUGAACAAGCUAUUCAUUUUUGCUCCAUCUCUGGCAUUAUUGUACCCUAUAAUAUUUGCUUAUAUGAGACAAAAACUGAAGAUAAAACGUGA